rnacentral:rRNA from 1 species
GACGGAAGGGGGCUAGCGUUGUUCGGAAUUACUGGGCGUAAAGCGCGUGUAGGCGGUUGCCCAAGUCGGGUGUGAAAGCCUUGAGCUCAACUCAAGAAAUGCACUCGGUACUGGGUGACUAGAGGACCGGAGAGGAUAGUGGAAUUCCCAGUGUAGUGGUGAAAUACGUAGAGAUUGGGAAGAACACCAGUGGCGAAGGCGGCUAUCUGGACGGUUUCUGACGCUAAGACGCGAAAGCGUGGGGAGCAAACAGGAUUAAGAUACC